rnacentral:ribozyme from 1 species
UGCCGAGCAACUUCUAUCCCUACCUCCUUGUGGUACUGGCCGGGGUACAAGUAACCUUGGGUAACCAACUCCGGUUAACUUUAGUCGUAUGUUGACAGGGAAGG